rnacentral:rRNA from 1 species
GAGUUUGAUCUUGGCUCAGGAUGAACGCUGGCGGCGUGCCUAACACAUGCAAGUCGAACGGGAACCCUUGGAUUCGUCUGGGGGGGAGAGUGGCAAACGGGUGAGUAACACGUUGGUGACCUGCCCCAAAGAGGGGAAUAACCACUGGAAACGGUGGCUAAUACCCCAUGUGGUCUGUCGGUCGGACGGCAGAUUAAAGCGCCCCAUUAGGGGCUGCGCUUUGGGAGGGGCCUGCGGCCCAUCAGGUAGUUGGUAGGGUAAUGGCCUACCAAGCCGAUGACGGGUAGGGGGCGUGAGAGCGUGAUCCCCCACACUGGCACUGAGACACGGGCCAGACUCCUACGGGAGGCAGCAGUGAGGAAUAUUGCCCAAUGGACGCAAGUCUGAGGCAGCAACGCCGCGUGGGUGAUGAAGGCCUUCGGGUUGUAAAACCUUUUCUGGGGACGAGAAAGGACGGUACCUCAGGAAUAAGUCACGGCUAACUACGUGCCAGCCGCCGCCGU